GCCUAGUUAGCUUAGUUGGUAGUGCGUCUGCCUUGUAAGCGCUAGGCCGCGGGUUCGAUUCCCGCCCGAGGUU
rnacentral:tRNA from 1 species